AUAACGCCAGUGGUUCCCACCUCAGUCCUUAGACACAACAGAAGUAAUUGAUUUUUGAUUUUGCAAUUCUGUUUUUCUGACAAAACCAUUGGUUUGCGUAGAGGAAUGAGAUGAGAUCCACUAAAGAAAGCUGCCAAUCCUGUGGAUCUUCUCAUGUCUCUCAAAUUUGUUCCUCGUCUCCAAGUUCCAGCUUCCCCCAACCUUUGUGUUACACAGUCUUGCAAUGACACAAAUGUAGCG